rnacentral:rRNA from 1 species
UACGUAGGGUGCAAGCGUUAAUCGGAAUUACUGGGCGUAAAGCGUGCGCAGGCGGUUGUGCAAGACAGAUGUGAAAUCCCCGGGCUCAACCUGGGAACUGCAUUUGUGACUGCACGGCUGGAGUGCGGCAGAGGGGGAUGGAAUUCCGCGUGUAGCAGUGAAAUGCGUAGAUAUGCGGAGGAACACCGAUGGCGAAGGCUAUCCCCUGGGCCUGCACUGACGCUCAUGCACGAAAGCGUGGGGAGCAAACAGG